rnacentral:sRNA from 1 species
UCAUUGCGUUAGGGAUUGCAGCGGAAAUCCUUUUUGUGUGGUACGAGCAAAAAGAUUAUAGCGGAAAGCCCGACCCGAC